rnacentral:rRNA from 1 species
AUUGAACGCUGGCGGCAGGCUUAACACAUGCAAGUCGAGCGAGCGGCGGCCGGGUGAGUAAUGUCUGGGAAACUGCCUGAUGGAGGGGGAUAACUCCUGGAAACGGUCGCUACUACCGCAUACCAUCAGAUGUGCCCCGAUGGGAUUAGCUAGUAGGUGGGGUAAUGGCUCACCUAGGCGACGAUCCCUAGCGGGUCUGAGAGGAUGACCAGCCACACUGGAACUGAGACACGGUCCAGAAGCCGACGGGAGGCAGCAGUGGGGAAUAUUGCACAAGGGGCGCAAGCCUGAUGCAGCCAUGCCGCGUGUGUGAAGAAGGCCUUCGGGUUGUAAAGCACUUUCAGCGAGGAGGCGUUACUCGCAGAAGAAGCACCGGCUAACUCCGUGCCAGCAGCCGCGGUAAUAC